rnacentral:ncRNA from 1 species
UUGAGCCGUAUGCGGGGAAACUCGCACGUACGGUUCUUAGGGGGCCCCUUUUCCGCAAGGAAGAGGGGCUACCCUAC